CCUACGGGAGGCAGCAGUGGGGAAUUUUGCGCAAUGGGCGAAAGCCUGACGCAGCAACGCCGCGUGCGGGAUGAAGGCCUUCGGGUUGUAAACCGCUUUCAGCAGGGAUGAAAUUGACAGUACCUGCAGAAGAAGCCCCGGCUAACUACGUGCCAGCAGCCGCGGUAAUACGUAGGGGGCAAGCGUUAUCCGGAUUCAUUGGGCGUAAAGAGCGCGUAGGCGGAUUGUUAAGCGCGAUGUGAAAACUGGGGGCUCAACCCGCAGCCUGCAUCGCGAACUGGCAGUCUUGAGUCUGGUAGAGGAGUGUGGAAUUCCCAGUGUAGCGGUGAAAUGCGCAGAUAUUGGGAGGAACACCGGUGGCGAAGGCGGCACUCUGGGCCACGACUGACGCUGAGGCGCGAAAGCUAGGGGAGCGAACAGGAUUAGAUACCCUGGUAGUCCUAGCCGUAAACGAUGGGCACUAGGUGUGGGGGGUAUAACUCCCUCCGUGCCGCNGCUACGACAUAGUCGCCCGCCGUCGGGAGGACGGCCGCGACGACGUAAACUACAAGAGUAGUACGCGUCGAGACGACGCGACGACGACGACGACGGAGGAGGAG
rnacentral:rRNA from 1 species